rnacentral:rRNA from 1 species
AACGAACGCUGGCGGCAUGCCUAACACAUGCCAGUCGAACGAGACCUUCGGGUCUAGUGGCGCACGGGUGCGUAACGCGUGGGAACCUGCCCUUAGGUUCGGAAUAACUCCCCGAAAGGGGUGCUAAUACCGGAUAAUGUCUUCGGACCAAAGAUUUAUCGCCUUUGGAUGGGCCCGCGUUGGAUUAGCUAGUUGGUAGGGUAAAAGCCUACCAAGGCGUCGAUCCAUAGCUGGUCUGAGAGGAUGAUCAGCCACACUGGGACUGAGACACGGCCCAGACUCCUACGGGAGGCAGCAGUGGGGAAUAUUGGACAAUGGGCGAAAGCCUGAUCCAGCAAUGCCGCGUGAGUGAUGAAGGCCUUAGGGUUGUAAAGCUCUUUUACCCGGGAUGAUAAUGACAGUACCGGGAGAAUAAGCUCCGGCUAACUCCGUG